UACGUAGGGGGCAAGCGUUGUCCGGAAUUAUUGGGCGUAAAGCGUGCGCAGGCGGUUUGCUAAGACAGGUGUGAAAUCCCCGGGCUUAACCUGGGAACUGCGCUUGUUACUGGCAAGCUGGAGUGUGGCAGAGGGGGGUGGAAUUCCACGUGUAGCAGUGAAAUGCGUAGAGAUGUGGAGGAACACCGAUGGCGAAGGCAGCCCCCUGGGCUAACACUGACGCUCAUGCACGAAAGCGUGGGGAGCAAACAGG
rnacentral:rRNA from 1 species